UACUCAGUUCAGAUUGCAGGCUGCAACCCGCCUGCAUGAAGUCGGAAUUGCUAGUGAUCGCGGAUCAGCAUGCCGCGGUGAAUACGUUCCCGGGCCUUGUACACACCGCCCGUCACACCAUGGGAGCCGGUAAUACCCGAAGUCAGUAGUCCAACCUCGUGAGGACGCUGCCGAAGGUAGGAUUGGCGACUGGGGUGAAGUCGUAACAAGGUAAC
rnacentral:rRNA from 1 species